GCCGGGUUAGCACAGUGGUAGUGCAGCGGUUUUGUAAACCGUUGGUCGGGGGUUCAAAUCCCUCACUCGGCACCA
rnacentral:tRNA from 1 species